ensembl:lncRNA
GUGUCCUGCUGUGCAGCAUCUCUCCUCUAUCACGUUGGCUCUCUAUCUCUCCUAUACCUUGUAUCCACUCUGUCUACAAGUUGGCUCUCUAUCUAUCCUGUACCUUGUAUCCACUCUGUCUACAAGUUGGCUCUCUAUCUAUCCUGUCACAUCUACCGCUCUGUCUUUUGCAUAUGGCAACUCACACUUUGUGUCCCCCUCUAUCCCACUCUCACGUUGGUAAUCUUUGGCAAUGGAAUGGAACAAACUCUGGAAACCUUUCUCUGAACUGAACUGAAUUUUGGACUAAGCUCUGUUGGCUCGACUUGGGUUACUGGUACCUAAUCUAUCUGACUUGAAUACUCUGAGAGACUCUCUUCUCUCACCCUCACCUCUUACCUCUCCUAUCUACAACUUAUACACUUAUCUCUAGAACACUAUUGCUGUUUUUGCAACUCGGACAAAGCAUUUAUACUAUUUCCGAGACUUUUUCCCAACACAUUGGUUAAACAAAACUGAAAAGUUAAUUCAGAAACUGAAAGAAACCACACAUAACCUACAUAUUUUGUUGUAAUUGAUAAAAAGUACCUUUUAUCAUUUAGAAUUGAAUGGUACAUUUUCAAAUAUAUAUUUCGAGUAAAUCAUUACAUUAACAUAAUUCAAGAAAGUUGCUCCCUUGUUACUUUACAUAAAAACAAUUGUAGUAAAAGUCUAUAUCAUAUAAAAGGAAUAGUUAAUUUCCUGAUCGUUGUUGCUUUGGAGCUCCGCUGGUUUGUACCCAAAGCUUUGUUUUGGUAGCAGUACUCUAGAAAUCUGUAAUAACAAUUUCCUGUAUAAACGUACAUUAUUUCAAACAUUCAGUGUAUUUGUGUGUUUAGUUGUUUCACUUUGUUCAUACUGAAAUAAAACAAAGCCAUCUAUAAGGAGGAAGUGGAUUCAUUGGGAGUUGCUGCCUUCUGUCUGCAGGCCCGACAUUCAGAAGCUUUCAUCCAUCAUCACGUUGCCACGACAACGCUUCCUGAUUUAAUAUAAACCCAAGUAUUAUAAGUUGUUCUCUUGGUGUUCUUGAUCAGUAAAAGCAGACAAAGGUUUAAUCUAUUUUCACAUUCUGCUUUGUUAAGUUACUUUUACCAUUAAUAUUGUGUUUAGUACCUUGGUUGUGUACAAUACAAGUAAAACAAUAACAUUUGUGGUUUUGAAACACAACAAUGCCCAGAAAGAGUAAGAGGUCACAAGCUCAGAGCCAGCGCUGGCAGCGGACCAAAGAGAAUCCCUGUGCAACAACGACUGAAGGAGCAGAAUGUGUUGGUCCUGAGAGCAGUGAAGAGGUAAAGAUGUCUGCAGAGUCUCAUGCUGGAAGUGUGAAACAGGGAGUUCCAAGUGAGUCACAGGUAUCAGAUACUGUAAAGAGAGGACAACCCAGUAAAGAACCAUGUGCAGCAGGACCUUCUAAUGCAGACUGUGUAGACCCUGGAGAUCAGCCUUCUGAACAACAUGUCCGUGCAUCCCACAGCCAGGCUUCUAUCAGAUACGGCAGAUCCAGAAAUCGGCAGUGCACCUGUAACUCACUGACCUUUCUUGCAUUCCUCCAUGAGAAUGAAAGCAUCACCAGAGCAGACCUGGACCAUGUUUUGGAUAAAGGUAACACGAUGUAUAGAGA